AUUGUACUCCAUCCGUCCCAAAAUUCUUGUCUUAGGUUUGUCUAGAUAUAAAUAUAUCUAGUCACGUUUUAGUAUUUAGAUACAUUUAUUUCUAGACAAAUAUAAGACAAGAAUUUUAAAACGGAGGGAGGGAGUA
rnacentral:pre_miRNA from 1 species